ACACACAUUCAGUCCCCUUCCUGAGGGAGGUGGGAGGCGUGGGGAGGUGAUGUGCGGCCUUGUCCUUGGAAUCAAAUCAUUCCUGUCACUGGCCCUGAGGCUCUCUCCGCUAACCUCCAGUGCCUGCCAGGUCCCGGAAGCUGAAGACCACCAGCUGAGUGCUGAGAAAGCCCACCACCCGCUCCCUGCCCCCUCAAGUUGGGGCUCUGCCCUGAACCAACUCAUGCCCUCGGAAAGUCUCCAAGGCACUUCGAGGCAAAGACACUGGGUCUGACUUGUCUAAAGGCUCCACACUUGGGCACCAAGGUCCCCGGCUCUCUUUGCUCCCAGGGACUCUGUCUACCUUCCCAUUCCACAUUCUGCAUUCCUUCCCAGAAGGAGGCCACUCACUCCGCCCUCUGUGGCUUCCCACCCUGACUGAGGCCUCUCUAUGUCUCAGGCUUAGCCACAUAUGCAGCCCCAACCUCUCCUCCCAGAGUAGAUCCAGAUGAGUGGCGUGAGCUGCUCACCCAGCGUUCUGCCUGCUCUCCUCUGGGCGCAACUUAUGGGGUGCAUCCAGGCCCCCUUCAAGGAGGACCCACUGUCUCGCUGCUCUGAGGCCCUCAAGGCAGGGAGUCCAUUCUUCUGCUGGGCUAUCCUCCUCAGGUAUUUCUGGGUUCUCCUCCUGCCAAGUUCCCCACACGUCUCCUUUCGGCCAUGCCCCACGUGGCGGCACGUGCUGGAUUCCCAUCCAUGAGAAUUCAGCUCCAGCUGCCCCUUGAAGUCCAAGCCCAAGACUUACAGAAAACGGAGGAAAAACCAAGCAAAAGGGCCCAUAUCCGUCCCCAGAGGUGGCCACACCCAGAGAUGGGAGCCCAGUGCUCCCUGUGGAGGGCGAGGUGUCCCCACCAAUGUGGGGCCAGGCCUCUAGUUCGGAAGGCCUGUCUGCCCUGCGGGGAAACCCCACCACCCACCGACAGAGCUGUGGUUUGGCCCCGAAACUCCCACACGAUCCCUGGGUUCCUGGACACGGUAUGGUCCCCAAGUCAGCAUCAUGCCAUGGGGAAGACACCGUCCAUGAGAAGCUGCUGGGAUCCUAGGAUCUUGGAGCCUAGGGCCAUCCGAUUCCUGCGUAUCUCUCCUCCAUCCUCUGUAGCCUCCCCUGGACACACAGACUUGUCACCGUCACUGACACGGAGCUUCCCCUCAAAGGGAGCAUCUUGGUGACGCUUGCCCCGGUGAUGGUCCCCGAAGAACAAAGGCUGUCUGAGGCCUCCAGGUGAAGUCGGGGCCCCUCCACCAAGCAGAACCGACAUCAGGCUUUGAAGUGACAAAGCUUCAAAUCUUCCUUCCAAGACUUCAAAGCACAGAGCCCACACUCAGGUUGCAGCUCCUGAGCAAGGGGCCGGCGGCGGCUUUGUGGAGAGGACACAUCUUGCAGGCUCUUGUUUCACAGGCUCCACAGAGAGGGAUGCAAGAGGACCAUGGAGCUCACGGACCAGCAUUCUGCCUGUCAGAUGUCCCCCAGAGGCUGAUAUCCCCAAAGAAAGGUCAGUCCUGCCGUGGAGGGGACACGGCCCAGACGGGAGGUGGCUCCUGGGUCAGAGGAGAUGGCUGUGGCAUUGAUCUUCUUGGCCUGUCGUAACAAGAUACCACAGACUUUGACAACAGGAGUAUGUCUCACUGUUCUGGAGGCUGGGCGCCCAGGAUGGAGGUACCACCGAGGGCUCCCUCCUUGGGUUGCAAAUGGCCACCUUCUCCUCACGUCCUCAACACAGCCUUUCUCCGUGCAUGCAGUGGAGGAGAAAAAAGCAAAAAAAACUCUGGUUGCUCUUCCAUAAGGACACCAAUCCCGUUGUGAAGGCUCCAAGCUCAGGACCUCAUCUAAAACAAAGUAUGUCCCAAAGGCCCCAUUUCCAAAUACUGUCAUACUGGGGGUUAGGACUCCAAAAUAUGGAUUUGGGUGUUGAGAGGAGACACAUAGCAACUGUCCAGGGUGGGGAUGUCCCCAGCCAGCCCGCAGCACCCAGGCCGCAGCUUAGCUAUGCCCGAGGUUGUGGGGAAUUUAGGAGAAAGAGGUGGUCUGGGCCAGCCCCUAAGAGCUCCCAUUCUUCAGAAGCUCUGGAUAGGCGAGCAGGAUUCUCACGUCAGGAGCCAUGACAGAAAACUCAGAUUUAACCUGGGAGAGUCAGACUCACACCACAGGUAGUUGGUGAAGGGAGGGGGCACAGCGAAGGACCUCUGGGGGGCUGGCCCUGUGUCUUUCGCGCAUUGGGGGUCAGCAGGCCACCUAUGCUGGGCCACACAAUGUCUGUAAAAGGAGCCCGGGCCCUUGGAAGCAGCUCCAGCGUCACGAUAGUAGUGGGACAUGAUGGAGGGAGUGGGUGUGGCGGGCUCAGUCCUGGAGGGACGGCAGCUGGGCCUGGGGGCGGGGGUUCUCUGUGGCCCAGCUGCUGCCACAAGGAGCCAAGUACACAAGUGGGUGUAGGGGUGUAGGGAGCUGCGCUGGGAGCAGUCUCAGGGUACUCCUGUACUCCUGUACUCGGCAUCCGUGUGGCCGCUCCAGCUUGAGCCCUUCUUGGCUCCUUUGGCCAAGACGGCCGUGUCACCAGGCAAGGGCCUUCAGCGGCCGGCUCUCCCCUGGAGCCGGGGCUGCCCGAGAACUCCCCAUGACCACGUCACACAGCACCAUAGAAAUCCAUUUAUUUGGCAAAUCCGUUUGAUCGGAUCAUUUUCCCAAUAAAUUGUGCUACUUUCACGCA